rnacentral:lncRNA from 1 species
UUUAUUUAAUUCAGACACCUUUUAUUAUAGUUUGAAGUUACCAUAAAACAACCAGAAACAAAGAGAGCCCUCCAUGCAAGAAAAAAGCCACGACACCCUGUCAGUGAGGAUUCACAGAGGUUUGGAAGUAUGCUUAAUUCAAACAAGAGUGCAGAAGUACUUUUAAUUCAACCCAAGAGUAGGUUAGCACUGAAAGGGAUUUUUUCUACUCUCUCCAAGCCUGGCUAAAGGGUCCCACUGCCCCGUUUGCGCUGCUUCCAUGCAAUGUUUUGGAUCACUGUAAGAUGAAAUCAUUGUUCCACAAAAUGACUCACAUUACAAAGCUGUACCCUGAGACCCUAUCAUUAAAUACCCCACAAGUGGUCCUCUAAAAGUCCUCCUGUUAAGGGUGCCAGAAUUGUGAAAGCAGAAGGCAUUUACAUUUCCCCUGAAGACCCAGUCCUUCCAUCAGCCCUCAAAGCAGUUUGCUGACUAAAUCUUCUAUGUAUUUGAAUAAUUUAACAUAUGAAUAAAUUCAUUUAUGCUGAAUGAAGAGGUGGACUACUGGGAUGCAGUAAUGCCAACACAACAAAAUUGAAGCAGGGGAAGUGAGGGAAAUGAACCCGUAACAAUGGCAAGCAGUACCGUCUGCUCAGGCAGCAGGAGACAGCUGUGACCACAUCUGAAAUACAAGAGCGUAGGGAGGUACAGAGCAGCAUCUAAAAAGGGCUUUAGAAUAAGCAGAGCUGAGCAAAACCCAAGCUGCUUUUUUUGAGCUGCAAGAAAUAUGAUUGUUAUAGAAUGACUGAAAACUUAAUUGCAAGUUUUAUGUCUCAUUCCAAAUUUUCCAAUUCAGAAAGUGUGUAAGUAACAUUCCCGUGCCUUUUACUUUCCACUGGCAGUUAAGCAAAAGAAGUCUCAGCUUCUGCCAAAUGAUCUGUCACACCAAGCCCUUGACCUCGGCAACUGAUGAAUACAUGUUACAAAUGCAUGCAGCACAAAACCUGAAAAUAUUAAAGGCAGACCUCAAGUAGUGUAAACUGGCAUUGGUCCAGCUUACACCAGCUGCUGGUCUGCUCUGUAAAUGUCUUAGAGCAGUUAACAGUUGG